UGUGGCUUAGGGUUUUUUUGGUCUUUUGGCUUUUGUUCUUAUCCCCACAGAGCCAAUUCGACCCCUGAGGAUACCAGAAGGGUGCUGGAGUUUAGGGGAUAAGGGUUUGGGUCUUUUUAGCUUUCUCUCUCUAGAUUUCUCUCUCUUAAUGCAAGAAAUGGUGGAUUUGGACUUAAUCUCUUUGCCUACUUGAUGCUGGCUGUUGUGGGAAGGCUUGGAGUUAGCUGUGGAAGAAGGAAAGAAGUAAUUGAUUAGUGUUCUUCGAGCUUACUGCCAGGAAGUGCAGAGGAAGAGCUAUAGAAAGCCGAGUAAGAGAGAAGGUUCAGCAGCGAGAGAAGAGCUUUUAAGUGGUGACUUCUCUACAUUAAUCUCGUAAAGAGCUGAAUUGGGGCUUCGGAAAAAAGUCAUGGUUAUCACUUGAGCUGAGAUUACAACUUGGGUGAGUUAAUUAGAAGUGCUUCAAUCCUCAGGGAGCUGGAAUUUCAAGUGAAGAAGCAGGUUUGGGACUUGAUUCCAGCAGCUAGAGAGGAGUUAUCUAGCUGUGAUUUAUCCACUUUAAUCUAGGGAAAAGCUGCUUUGAAGCUUGAUAAAGCGGGUUUCCGAAUCACUCUGAGCUAAUUGGUGACCUUGGGAACUGGUUUGGAAAAUAUUUCAACUAAGGCGAGGGUGCAACCGCCCUGUGAAUCAUCUUCCAUUGACAUUGGAGAGCCUUUAGAGGUUAAAUUGGAGCAAGGUUGAGGCCUACCUGAGCUGAAUUUCGGGACUCUUUUGGGCU